rnacentral:tRNA from 1 species
AAUCAAGUAGCAUUAAAUGCAUUUUGUUUCGGCCAAAAAGAAGGUUUUACCCUUGAUUU